UCUAUACAUUGUCAUCAGCACUAUCAGCAUGUUGCACUUAGAAAUAAAUAAUAUUUUAUAAUAUUCUUUGAUUACGCCGAGGAAAAAAAAUGCCACCUACCACUAUUAAAUAAAUAAAAAAAUUUAUUUACACAUAUAUACAUCUUAACAUUUAUAAAUACUCGUGUGCACAAUGGUUAUGUUAUUUCUGAUUGUCGUGUCACGAUAAGAUUAUCUCAUACGUAGCAUUCGUAUGGAAGCACGUGCGUGAUAAGGAUGCAACGUAUGCGUUAUAAAAUGUUGGUAAAGGACGACAGGAUCUGCGCGGUCCGGCAAACUGUUACGUUUGGCUAUGGGAGAAAACCGGCUUGAGAAUCAGAUAUAUAGUAAGUCAGGUAUAGUUGAGAAUGUAUUUCUAAUGAAUUCGCAAAACCUUGAAAGUUCCUCCCUCCAUUGGUAUAGUGUGUAAUAGGGAAGAGAAUUUGGUAGUCCGCGACGUCUCUGCGUGACUUCAGGUUUUUGUAAAUCCAUUAUUACUUCGAAUUCCGAGAUAGUGCUGUUUAACGUACUUGCAUUUCAAUUUUAAAUUAUUACAAUACGUACGGUUUCAAAUUGUAGGUUAUGCACGUUAACGUGUAUUCGAGUAAUUUCAUUUUAUCUAUGAGCCAUAUGUCUGGCGUAUCCGUUUAGUAAUUCUAAAAUAAUUCUCCAGGAUUCAGUGUCUGAACACUGAAUAUACGUCACAGAUGAUCCAUUUAAAUUUGUCAUUAAUGUGCAUUACCGAGAACGCGCGGAUGUCGUUUCGCUUGAUGGGAAUGUUUAACAGAAUGUAAAAGGUAUGUUCGACGGUCGAUAGAAACGAUAUUGGUCGAAGUUUCAUGGACGGAACGAAGGUCGUCCUCUCACUAUCUCACGGUUGGUUACUCGUAAGGAUCGGUACAUCCAUUCAUUUUGUCACGCACAUAGUCAUAGUCGUCCUUUAUCUCUUUGUCUCGCGUAUCAAAUCAUGUAGAGAUUGCGUUGUAUUCAAAAUCUGACAAUGGUAAGUCUUUGUUUUCUUAAUAUCAUGUUUUCGUAUAUACGCAUAUACGUAAUUUAAUCAGCAUAUUGUAUAGCUUGGAUAUUCCGUGUAUACUCCGUUGCAGGCGUUGAAUGUGGCACUGAAAAAGUGGAGGUAAUCAUCGCGUGUUACUACAUAACCUCGAAUUCUCUACACUUAACGUUUUACGUGAGAAAGCUCAGGAGAUUAAUACUUGGGAUCGAAUUUUAGACAAGUUGAAUAUUAUUUGAGUAUUGAUAUGUAAAAGUUGAAUAAAACUUUUAAAAAUA